CCUCAUAAAGUAUGUCGUAGUCCGGAUUGGAGUCUGCAACUCGACUCCAUGAAGUCGGAAUCGCUAGUAAUCGUAGAUCAGAAUGCUACGGUGAAUACGUUCCCGGGCCUUGUACACACCGCCCGUCACACCAUGGGAGUGGGUUGCAAAAGAAGUAGGUAGCUUAACCUUCGGGAGGGCGCUUACCACUUUGUGAUUCAUGACUGGGGUGAAGUCGUAACAAGGUAACCGUAGGGGAACCUGCGGUUGGAUCACCUCCUUACCUUAAAGAA
rnacentral:rRNA from 1 species